rnacentral:rRNA from 1 species
CUUGAGACCGGCGCACGGGUGCGUGAGCGCGUAUGCAAUCUACCUUGUACAGAGGGAUAGCCCAGAGAAAUUUGGAUUAAUACCUCAUAGUAUUAUUGAAUGGCAUCAUUUAAUAAUUAAAGUUCCAACGGUACAAGAUGAGCAUGCGUCCUAUUAGCUAGUUGGUGUGGUAAGCGGCAUACCAAGGCUACGAUAGGUAGGGGUCCUGAGAGGGAGAUCCCCCACACUGGUACUGAGACACGGACCAGACUCCUACGGGAGGCAGCAGUGAGGAAUAUUGGACAAUGGGCGCAAGCCUGAUCCAGCCAUGCCGCGUGCAGGAAGACGCAUCUAUGGUGUGUAAACUGCUUUUGUACGGGAAGAAACACUCCCUCGUGAGGGAGCUUGACGGUACCGUAAGAAUAAGGAUCGGCUAACUCCGUGCCAGCAGCCGCGGUAAUACGGAGGAUCCAAGCGUUAUCCGGAAUCAUUGGGUUUAAAGGGUCCGUAGGCGGUUUAAUAAGUCAGUGGUGAAAGCCCAUCGCUCAACGAUGGAACGGCCAUUGAUACUGUUAGACUUGAAUUACAAGGAAGUAACUAGAAUAUGUAGUGUAGCGGUGAAAUGCUUA